GAUGAACGCUGGCGGCGUGCCUAAUACAUGCAAGUCGAACGAAUCUUCUUCGGAAGAUGAGUGGCGAACGGGUGAGUAAUACAUAGGUAACCUGCCCCUGUGCGGGGGAUAACAGGAGGAAACUCCUGCUAAUACCGCAUACCCAUGAGCACCGCAUGGAUCUCAUGCCAAAUAUCCUUUCGCGGAUAGCCCAGGGAUGGACCUAUGGCGCAUUAGCUGGUUGGCGGGGAAACGGCCCACCAAGGCAACGAUGCGUAGCCGGCCUGAGAGGGCGGACGGCCACAUUGGGACUGAGACACGGCCCAGACUCCUACGGGAGGCAGCAGUAGGGAAUUUUCGGCAAUGGGGGAAACCCUGACCGAGCAACGCCGCGUGAGCGAAGAAGGCCUUCGGGUCGUAAAGCUCUGAUGUAAAGGAAGAACGGCGCAUACAGGAAAUGGUAUGCGAGUGACGGUACUUUACCAGAAAGCCACGGCUAACUACGUGCCAGCCGCCGCCGUAA
rnacentral:rRNA from 1 species